rnacentral:rRNA from 2 species
UUGAUCUCAAAUCAGGCAGGACUACCCGCUGAACUUAAGCAUAUCAAUAAGCGGAGGAAAAGAAACUAACAAGGAUUCCCCUAGUAACUGCGAGUGAAGCGGGAAAAGCUCAAAUUUAAAAUCUGACAGCUGUUCUGGCUGUCCGAGUUGUAAUCUAGAGAAGUGUUACCCGCGCUGGACCGUGUACAAGUCUCCUGGAAUGGAGCAUCAUAGAGGGUGAGAAUCCCGUCUUUGACAUGGACUACCAGGGCUUUGUGGUGCGCUCUCGAAGAGUCGAGUUGUUUGGGAAUGCAGCUCAAAAUGGGUGGUAAAUGCCAUCUAAAGCUAAAUAUUGGCGAGAGACCGAUAGCGAACAAGUACCGUGAGGGAAAGAUGAAAAGAACUUUGGAAAGAGAGUUAAACAGUACGUGAAAUUGCUGAAAGGGAAACGCUUGAAGUCAGUCGCAUCGACUGGAAAUCAACCUUGCUUUUGCUUGGUGUAUUUUCUGGCUUGAUGGGUCAGCAUCAAUUUUGAUCGCUGGAUAAAGGCUUGGGGAAUGUGGCAUCUUAGGAUGUGUUAUAGCCCUUGGUUGCAUACAGCGGUUGGGAUUGAGGAACUCAGCACGCCGCGAGGCCGGGUUUCGACCACGUUUACGUGCUUAGGAUGCUGGCAUAAUGGCUUUAAUCGACCCGUC